AUUGAACGCUGGCGGCAGGCCUAACACAUGCAAGUCGAGCGAGCGGCGGACGGGUGUGUAGUGUCUGGGAAACUGCCUGAUGGAGGGGUAUAACUACUGGAAACGGUAGCUAAUACCGCAUAACAUCAGAUGUGCCCAGAUGGGAUUAGCUAGUCGGUGGGGUAACGGCUCACCAAGGCGACGAUCCCUAGCUGGUCUGAGAGGAUGACCAGCAACACUGGAACUGAGACACGGCCCAGACUCCUACGGGAGGCAGCAGUGGGGAAUAUUGCACAAUGGGCGCAAGCCUGAUGCAGCCAUGCCGCGUGUAUGAAGAAGGCCUUCGGGUUGUAAAGUACUUUCGGCGGAGAGGCGUUACCCGCAGAAGAAGCACCGGCUAACUACGUGCCAGCAGCCGCGGUAAUAC
rnacentral:rRNA from 1 species